GAUGAACGCUAGCGGCAGGCUUAAUACAUGCAAGUCGAGGGACAGCACAGGUAGCAAUACUGGGUGGUAACCGGCAAACGGGUGCGGAACACGUACACAACCUUCCUUUAAGUGGGGGAUAGCCCAGAGAAAUUUGGAUUAAUACCCCGUAAUAUAGUUGAAUGGCAUCAUUUGAUUAUUAUAGCUACGGCGCUUAAUGAUGGGUGUGCGGCUGAUUAGAUAGUUGGCGGGAUAACGGCCCACCAAGUCUACGAUCAGUAGCUGAUGUGAGAGAAUGAUCAGCCACCCGGGCACUGAGACACGGGCCCGACUCCUACGGGAGGCAGCAGUAAGGAAUAUUGGUCAAUGGACGCAAGUCUGAACCAGCCAUGCCGCGUGAAGGAUUAAGGUCCUCUGGAUUGUAAACUUCUUUUAUUUGGGACGAAAAAGGGCCUUUCUAGGUCAACUGACGGUACCAGAUGAAUAAGCACCGGCUAACUCCGUGCCAGCAGCCGCGGUAACAC
rnacentral:rRNA from 1 species